UAGCCAAGGUCAACCCAACCCAACCCAACCCAAGGUCAACAAAACCCAACUCAACAUCAACCAAGGUCAACCCAACCCAACCCAAGGUCAACCAAGGUCAACCCAACCCAACCCAAGGUCAACCAAGGUCAACCCAACCAAACCCAACCCAAAGUCAACAAAACCCAACCCAAGGUCAACCCAACCCAAGUCAAGGUCAACCCAACCAAACCCAAGGUCAUCCAAGGUCAACCAAACCCAACCGAACCCAACCCAAGGUCAUCCAAGGUCAACAAAACCCAACUCAACAUCAACCAAACCCAACCCAAGGUCAACCAAGAUCAACCCAACUCAACCCAAAAUCAACCAAACCUAACCCAAUCCAAUCCAAGGUCAACAAAACCCAACUCAACGUCAACCAAGGUCAACCAAACCCAAGUCAAGAUCAACCAAGGUCAACCAAGGUCAACCCAACCCAAAAUCAACUCAAGGACAACCCAACCCUUGGUCAACCCAACCAAUGGUCAGCAAGGCCAAAGCAACCAUACGACCAACGCGAGUCAAGGCCGGACAAUCGAUGGUCAAUGUCAAGACCAACCCAACGGUCAGCUCAAGAUCAACCCAAUGGUCAGCUCAAGAUCAAGACCACCCCAGUGGUCAGCCCAAUUAACCGUUCACAAAAUCAAGACCAACCCAACGGUCAUCUCCAUCAAUGGUCAGCAGAACCAAGACCAACGGUCAGCCCAGGUCAAGGCAACGUCAAGUCAAGGUCAACCAACCAAUGGUCAAGAUCAAGCCAUGGGUGAGACCAAGCCAUGGUUGAGACCAAACUCAAGUCAAGACCAAGCCAUGGCCGAGACCAACCCAAAAACCAAGACAAACUCAAGACCAAUCCAAGGUCAAAACAAACCCAAAGUCAAGACCAACUCAUGGUCAAGAUCAACCAGCCCAAAGUCGAGACCAAGCCAUGGCCAAGACCAACCCAAAGUCAAGACCGACUCAAGGUCAAGACCAAUCCAUGGCCAAAACCAACCCAAAAACCAACUCAAACUCAAGACCAACCAAUGGCCAAAACCAACCCAUCGCGAAGACCAACCCAAAGUCAAGACCAACUCAUGGUCAAGACCAACCCAAAAACCAACCCAAAGU
rnacentral:lncRNA from 1 species